rnacentral:rRNA from 1 species
AAAGAUUAAGCCAUGCAUGUCUAAGCACAUGCCUUAAUACGGUGAAGCCGCGAAUAGCUCAUUACAACAGCCACCGUUUACUAGAAUAUAGUUAUCCUACUUGGAUAACUGUGGCAAUUCUAGAGCUAAUACAUGCAAAAAAGCUCUGCCCGCAAGGAACGAGCGCAUUUAUUAGAAUAAAAACCAAUCGGGUUUCGGCCCGUAAUUUGGUGAAUCUGAAUAACUUUGCCAAUCGCACAGUCCUAGUACUGGCGAUGUAUCUUUCAAGUGUCUGCCUUAUCAACUUUCGAUGGUAGGUUAUACGCCUACCAUGGUAGUAACGGGUAACGGAGAAUAAGGGUUCGACUCCGGAGAGGGAGCCUGAGAAACGGCUACCACAUCCAAGGAAGGCAGCAGGCGCGCAAAUUACCCACUUCCAGAACGGAGAGGUAGUGACGAAAAAUAACGAGACAGUCCUCUUCGAGGUCUGUCAUCGGAAUGGGUACAAUUUAAAUCCUUUAACGAGGAUCUAUUGGAGGGCAAGUCUGGUGCCAGCAGCCGCGAUAAUUCCAGCUCCAAUAGCGUAUAUUAAAGUUGUUGCGGUUAAAACGCUCGUAGUUGGAUCUGCGGCCUCGGAGAACGGUCCCCCGAAAGGGUGGUCACUGUCUCUCCUAGCCUAAAUUCGAGUCGUCUCUAGGUGCUCUUUACCGAGUGCUUAGAGUGACUAGAACGUUUACUUUGAAAAAGUUAGAGUGCUUAAAGCAGGCGAAAUAGCCUGAAUAAGGUGCAUGGAAUAAUGGAAUAGGACCUCGGUUCUAUUUUGUUGGUUUUCGGAACCCGAGGUAAUGAUUAAGAGGAACAGACGGGGGCAUUCGUAUUCCGGCGCUAGAGGUGAAAUUCUUGGACCGCCGGAAGACGGACGACUGCGAAAGCAUUUGCCAAGAAUG